AGUGCGGGGAAGACGGCCGGGUGGUGAGCAGCUCCGACUAAGCGCGCUGAGGAGAGGCUUGAGGGCUUCCCGGGGGCAGAACAUUUUGAAAAUGUUUCAAGUUCCCGUGGAGAAUCUGGAUCGCAUCAGAAGUAUGCGGCUAUGGGUGAAGAGCGUCCUUCAGAAUAUUGGACUCGCCGGCUGCAGAGAAUUGUUGAAGGACCUUGAAGGCUUUGGCCCAAGUGACAGAUACUUUUAUAAUACAUCUUGGCCAGAUAUUGCUUCAAGGGAACUUGUCAGGAAGAAAAUGAGAUACCGACCCAAGCCAUACUGCUGUAGCCUCUGCAACUACUCAGCAAAUGUGUUUGCGUCUCUCAGAAAUCAUUUGAAUCAUUGUCAUGAAGAUGAGGUGGACCAAGAGCUGCAGAUCCAGUGUCCAGAUUGCUCAUUUGCUUCUCGGCCCGAUGUGGUGAGCAGACACUUCUGGUUGUUCCAUGAACCUGUUGGGAAAGUUCACAGCCCCAAAGAGAAAGUUCUGGGCAAUGGGAAGUCAUUGAAGGGUUAUAUAAAACAUUUUACCUGUUUAAAAUGUAACUUUUCCAACACUUCCUUCUGUAGCAUGAAGAAGCAUGUGCUGACCACCCAU
ensembl:antisense